GACGGGGGAUGCAAGUGUUAUCCGGAAUCACUGGGCGUAAAGCGUCUGCAGGUGGUUUCCUAAGUCCACUGUUAAACCUUGAGGCUCAACCUCAAAUCUGCAUUGGAAACUAGGAGACUUGAGUAUAGUAGGGGUAGAGGGAAUUUCCAGUGGAGCGGUGAAAUGCGUAGAUGUUGGAAAGAACACCGAUGGCGAAGGCACUCUACUGGGCUAUUACUGACACUCAGAGACGAAAGCUAGGGGAGCAAAUGGG
rnacentral:rRNA from 1 species